rnacentral:rRNA from 1 species
UUGCGGUACUCUGACCGUGCAAAGGUAGCAUAAUCAUUUGCCUUAUAAUUGAAGGCUAGUAUGAAUGGUUUGACAAGAAUGUAGCUGUCUCUUUGUAAUUAAACAGAAUUUUAUUUAUAGGUGAAGAAGCCUAUAUUAAAUUAAAAGACAAGAAGACCCUAUCGAGCUUGAAAGGAAUUAAUAGGCUAGACAAUUAAUGAUAUCAAAAAAUUAACUAUUAUAAAUUUUAGUUGGGGCGACUGAGGAACAAAAAAAGCUUCCUUUAAAAAUUAAAACUAAACAAGUAUUGAUCCAAAACAUUUUGAUUAAAGGAAUUAGUUACCGUAGGGAUAACAGCAUUAUCUUUUUUAAGAGCUCUUAUCGAAAAAAAGGUUUGUGACCUCGAUGUUGGACCAGAAUAUCCUAAAGAUGCAGCC